rnacentral:rRNA from 1 species
UACGAGGGGGGCGAGCGUUGUUCGGAAUUAUUGGGCGUAAAGAGCUCGUAGGCGGCCAGUUGCGUCCGCUGUGAAAUCCCGGGGCUUAACCCCGGGCGUGCAGUGGAUACGGGCUGGCUGGAGGCAGGCAGGGGAGAACGGAAUUCCUGGUGUAGCGGUGAAAUGCGCAGAUAUCAGGAGGAACACCGGUGGCGAAGGCGGUUCUCUGGGCCUGUACUGACGCUGAGGAGCGAAAGCGUGGGGAGCGAACAGG